GCUAAUUGAAUGUAUGUGAGUAUGAAUUAAGAAAUAUGAGCCACUGAUCAGGUCUGAGACUAAGGUUGGGUUCAGCCACCCCAAGGCUGUCAGAAAGGGCAGUUUUGAAUGCAAGGGGGCCCAACUGGAACCUCAAGACCCA